AACGCACAUUGCGCCCGCCAGCACUCUGGCGGGCAUGCCUGUUCGAGCGUCAUUUCAACCCUCAGGCCCCCCCGGGGGCCUGGCGUUGGGGGCCGGCCCUGGCCGCCCCCGAAAUGCAGUGGCGACCCCGCCGCGGCCUCCCCUGCGUAGUAGCACAAACCUCGCACCGGAGCGCGGAGGCGGUCACGCCGUAAAACGGCCCCAGGCCCUCCAGUAGUUGACCUCGGAUCAGGUAGGAAUACCCGCUGAACUUAA
rnacentral:misc_RNA from 1 species